rnacentral:rRNA from 1 species
GAUGAACGCUGGCGGCGUGCCUAAUACAUGCAAGUCGAGUGAACGGACGAGAAGCUUGCUUCUCUGAUGUUAGCGGCGGACGGGUGAGUAACACGUGGAUAACCUACCUAUAAGACUGGGAUAACUUCGGGAAACCGGAGCUAAUACCGGAUAAUAUUUUGAACCGCAUGGUUCAAAAGUGAAAGACGGUCUUGCUGUCACUUAUAGAUGGAUCCGCGCUGCAUUAGCUAGUUGGUAAGGUAACGGCUUACCAAGGCAACGAUGCAUAGCCGACCUGAGAGGGUGGUCGGCACAACGGGAACUGGGACCGGCUCCAGCCUCCUGCGGGGGGCGCAAGAGGGAAAUCUCCCGAAAGGGCCAAAGCCCGGAAGGAGCAACGCCGGGGGAGGAAUAAAGUUCUUGGGAUCGAAAAACUUUUUUAUUGGAAAAAAAAAUAGUUGAAGGAAACUGUGCACUUCUGGACGGUACCUAAUAAAAAACCCACGACAAACUACGUC